GACGAACCGUGCGAACGUUGUUCGGAAUCACUGGGCUUAAAGGGCGCGUAGGCGGGCGGCCGCGUCCGGGGUGAAAUCCCGCCGCUCAACGGCGGAACGGCCUCGGAUACGGGCGGCCUCGAGGGGGGUAGGGGCGUGCGGAACUCUGGGUGGAGCGGUGAAAUGCGUUGAUAUCCAGAGGAACUCCGGUGGCGAAGGCGGCACGCUGGACCCCUUCUGACGCUGAGGCGCGAAAGCCAGGGGGAGCGAACGGG
rnacentral:rRNA from 1 species